rnacentral:rRNA from 1 species
GACGAACGCUGGCGGCGUGCCUAAUACAUGCAAGUAGAACGCUGAAGGAGGAGCUUGCUUCUCUGGAUGAGUUGCGAACGGGUGAGUAACGCGUAGGUAACCUGCCUGGUAGCGGGGGAUAACUAUUGGAAACGAUAGCUAAUACCGCAUAAUAGUAGAUGUUGCAUGACAUUUGCCUAAAAGGUGCAAUUGCAUCACUACCACAUGGACCUGCGUUGUAUUAGCUAGUUGGUGGGGUAACGGCUCACCAAGGCGACGAUACAUAGCCGACCUGAGAGGGGGAUCGGCCACACUGGGACUGAGAAACGGCCCAGACGCCUACGGGAGGCAGCAGUAGGGAAUCUUCGGCAAUGGACGGAAGUCUGACCGAGCAACGCCGCGUGAGUGAAGAAGGUUUUCGGAUCGUAAAGCUCUGUUGUAAGAGAAGAAAGAGUGUGAGAGUGGAAAGUUCACACUGUGACGGUAUCUUACCAGAAAGGGACGGCUAACUACGUG